GGGUUUGAUCCUGGCUCAGGAUGAACGCUGGCGGCGUGCUUAAUACAUGCAAGUCGAACGGACCGGCUAGGGGCUAACGUUCUGAAAGUUAUGGCGGGUAAGAAAUUGCUCAAAGUGACGGAAGGGAUAGAGGCUUCGGUGCUGGUUAGUGGCGGACGGGUGAGUAACACGUGGGUAAUCUGCCCCAAAGUGGGGAACAACUGUUCGAAAGAGCAGCUAAUUCCGCAUGUGCUCUUGCGCGAGAGGAGACUCUCGCGAGAGAGGAAAGGUUUUCGGAUCGCUUUGGGAUGAGCUCGCGGCCGAUUAGCUAGUUGGUGGGGUAAAGGCCUACCAAGGCGAUGAUCGGUAGCUGGUCUGAGAGGAUGAUCAGCCACACUGGGACUGAGACACGGCCCAGACUCCUACGGGAGGCAGCAGUAAGGAAUAUCGCACAAUGGGGGAAACCCUGAUGCAGCAACGCCGCGUGGGCGAUGAAGGCCUUCGGGUUGUAAAGCCCUUUUCUGUGGGAAGAGACAAGGACGGUACCACAGGAACAAGUCUCGGCUAACUACGUGCCAGCAGCCGCGGUAAAACGUAGGAGGCGAGCGUUAUCCGGAUUUACUGGGCGUAAAGGGCAAGUAGGCGGUAGCCAAAGUUGGGUGUGAAAUCUCCUGGCUUAACUAGGAGGGGGCGCUCAAAACUAGGUUACUAGAGGGCAGAAGAGGGGGGUGGAACUCCUAGUGUAGCGGUGGAAUGCUCAGAUAUUAGGAAGAACACCAGUGGCGAAGGCGACCCCCUGGUCUGUGCCUGACGCUGAGAGGCGAAAGCUAGGGUAGCAAACGGGCUUAGAUACCCCGGUAGUCCUAGCUGUAAACGUUGGAUACUAGGUAUUGGGGGUGAUAAACUCCCUCAGUGCCGAAGCAAACGCGUUAAGUAUCCCGCCUGGGGACUACGGCCGCAAGGUUAAAAACUCAAAGGAAUUGACGGGAGCCCGCACAAGCAGCGGAGCGUGUGGUUUAAUUCGAUGAUACACGAAGAACCUUACCUGGGUUUGACAUAUACGUAGUAGCGACCCGAAAGGGGAGCGAGCCUUCGGGCAGCGUAUACAGGUGCUGCAUGGCUGUCGUCAGCUCGUGCCGUGAGGUGUCGGGUUAAGUCCCGCAACGAGCGCAACCCUCGUUGCUAGUUAUACUUUACUAGCGAGACUGCCGGCAUAUAACCGGAGGAAGGUGGGGAUGACGUCAAGUCAGCAUGGCCUUUAUAUCCAGGGCUACACACACGCUACAAUGGUCGGUACAAAGGGUCGCGAAGCCGUGAGGCGGAGCCAAUCUCAGAAAGCCGGCCCCAGUUCAGAUUGCAGGCUGCAACCCGCCUGCAUGAAGUUGGAGUUGCUAGUAACCGCAGGUCAGCAAUACUGCGGUGAAUACGUUCCCGGGCUUUGUACACACCGCCCGUCACGUCAUGGGAGCUGGCAAUACCUGAAGUCGGUGAGCUAACUGUAAAGGGGCAACUGCCGAAGGUAGGGCUAGUGACUGGGACGAAGUCGUAACAAGGUA
rnacentral:rRNA from 1 species